AAAUUUGAAAUCUGGCCCCCAGGGCCCGAGUUGUAAUUUGUAGAGGAUGCUUUUGGCGAGGCGCCUUCCGAGUUCCCUGGAACGGGACGCCACAGAGGGUGAGAGCCCCGUCUGGUUGGAUGCCGAGCCUCUGUAAAGCUCCUUCGACGAGUCGAGUAGUUUGGGAAUGCUGCUCUAAAUGGGAGGUAUAUGUCUUCUAAAGCUAAAUAUUGGCCAGAGACCGAUAGCGCACAAGUAGAGUGAUCGAAAGAUGAAAAGCACUUUGAAAAGAGGGUUAAAUAGUACGUGAAAUUGUUGAAAGGGAAGCGCUCAUGACCAGACUUGGGCCCGGUGAAUCAUCCAGCGGUUCUCGCUGGUGCACUUUGCCGGGCUCAGGCCAGCAUCAGUUCGCCCCGGGGGACAAAGGCUCUGGGAAUGUGGCUCCUCCGGGAGUGUUAUAGCCCUCUGCUGCAUGCCCUGGGGCGGACUGAGGUUCGCGCGUCUGCAAGGAUGCUGGCGUAAUGGUCAUCAGCGACCCGUCUUGAAACACGGACCAAGGAGUCGUCCUCGUAUGCGAGUGUUCGGGUGUCAAAACCCCUACGCGUAAUGAAAGUGAACGCAGGUGAGAGCUUCGGCGCAUCAUCGACCGAUCCUGAUGUUCUCGGAUGGAUUUGAGUAGGAGCAUACGGGGCCGGACCCGAAAGAAGGUGAACUAUGCCUGUAUAGGGUGAAGCCAGAGGAAACUCUGGUGGAGGCUCGCAGCGGUUCUGACGUGCAAAUCGAUCGUCA
rnacentral:rRNA from 1 species